rnacentral:ncRNA from 1 species
GAACUAUAGAGUUUGAUCCUGGCUCAGAUUGAACGCUGGCGGCAUGCCUUACACAUGCAAGUCGAACGGCAGCACGGGAGCAAUCCUGGUGGCGAGUGGCGAACGGGUGAGUAAUAUAUCGGAACGUACCCAGUCGUGGGGGAUAACGCAGCGAAAGCUGUGCUAAUACCGCAUACGAUCUCUGGAUGAAAGCGGGGGACCGCAAGGCCU